CCAACCAAUCCCCCAAUCAAUCAAUCCCCAAUUCGCUCCGCUCCCAGGCAGGCAAGGCUCCCCGCAACCCAACCCUAGCUUCCGCCUUCCCCUUCCCCUACCUAUGGAUCCGCCGCCCACCAGAGAGGAGCCCGAGCCCGGAUCCCGUCCCUUCCCCGAAGCCGACGAGCCGGGGACCUCCAGAUCGGAACGCGACGAACCGGAGACUUCACCAUCGGAACGCGACGAUCCGUCGUCGGGUGCUCCGCCGCCUCCUCUACGCCAGCAGCUCAUGGGGGCUUGCCGCGCCGACGAGCGCCUCAGGCCGCUCCUCACCCUCAACGUCUCCUGCACCGCCGCCGACGACCGUUUCAUCGCGCACCUCGCGCAGCACUUCGAGGUGUCGGAAGUCGGCAUGCUCGCGCGAUGCCUCUGCGUUCCCCUCGUCUCCCUGCGCGUUGGCAAGGUUCAGAGGGACGGCGCCCUCCUCUGCCCAACAUCCAUUAGGUAAUUUGGGCGUGUGUCAUAAUCUCUGAUAUAUGAGGAAAGAGAAGGUAGUUUCUUUCAUGGCCUUGCAAUAUUUGUUACCUGCAUUGAUAAUGAGUAAUCAUGUACUGCACUGUUUGGUGAGACUGAUCAACAGGAUCCCUAAUUAUGACUGCUAUAUUUUAAUGGCUGGCUGCAAAGUUGUUCUGCAGUUACCAUCUUAACGUUUUGCUGUUGCAGGACAUGAUCUAGCAUCAUUAGUUUGUGCAAUAAUUUAGUGCUUUGUUCAUCUUGAAUAGAUGUAUUUGUGCCCACAUCGGUGCUCAUUCUAUAACCAAAUACUUCGCUUGCCAACUUCUUCAUCUGUAAAACAUUCUUUCACAACUGUGCUUUUGUUUUACUCUCUGUUAUGGUAGUCCUUGUGUCCCUUUUCUUUUGGAACCUUUUUUGUUCAAUCUUUCACGUCGUAUUUGUUGGGUUUAGUCCUAAUGGGGAUUAUUGGUAGUAACUGCCCUUGGUAGUUUUUUUGUACUUCACCAUUUUUCUUUUUGGGACUCUUCAUAAUUACAAAAUAUGUUGUUUUGCUCAUGUAGAAGCAAAAUCAGAAUUUAGUGGCCCUUAUUUAUUUUAUAUAUCUAGGUUACGUCUAUGGAAGGUCUCACACUUAUUACCUACGAGGUAUAUUUGGCCAUGAGCUCACGUGAAAAAUAAAAUGCUGAACAAGAAGGCUCCUAGAUUUUUACAACUCCUUCCAGUGAAAAGGCAGAUCUGCUGCUAUUGUACGGAACAGGUUCUCAAACAAUGUGUUUUGAUGUAUUCAAAGGGAUUCUCUCAAGUGAGGCAUGCACACUUCUUUUGGAGGAGCAUAGAUUUAUUGCCUAUGUAAUGGUGCCAAAAGUUAAGAAUUUGCAAUAGCAUCUGGGUUUUUAUUUUGAUAAAUUAGUGAGCUUGGGCCUCAAGACAAUGUUUUACCACUUUAUGAGGUCCUUAACAUUUAACAAGGUUACUCUUUUCUUACAUAGAUGUAUGUAAUGGCACCUUAUUAGUUACAGUGAGGCUUUACUUUUACUUAUAUCGAAUUUCCUGGUCUGAGUCAUUAAGUUUCACAGAUGACAAAAUUAGUUUAUUUACUUUUCCUUACUAAGUUACUAGUGGCUGUGGUGUAUAUUAAUGCUUGCGUAUGUAAUAUGAGUGAACAGGCUCCUCUUUUCUAUUAACUUAUUUUCUUUCUAUUGAAGUAUCUCUUCUGAUCUGUGGUUCAAAAUAUUUUUCUUUUCUUUUACCAUAGCAGCUGUCCUGUCUAUGCUUUUAUUAGAACAAACAAUAUACCAUUUGGUGAAAAAUUGUUCAUGGAUCUCAUGAAUGCUCAUUUCCUUUGUGCAGAGGGAAGCUGAAGCUUGGUCUUCUGCCAUCAUCUAGCAUGUGCCUUACCUUUGUUGGUGAUGAUGGUUAUUCAGAGCAACUAGCUCUCUUGAGCAACAGCUUUGAAUGCUUGGAAGCUGUGAUUGAAGAAAUAUCAGCUGAUAAUUCUGGGCGCUCUUUCCUAGUCAGAAUUUCAGAAUCUAAAGUAUUUUACUACUGGUGUGCUGAGAAGUCAAAGGAACAUGGAAUGGAACUUCUUUCAAAGAUGAAAGGCCUUUUGGACGGGAGACCAACACUCUCUGAUCUGACUGGCAUUUCCAAUUCUCGACUUGAUGCUUUUGCCAGUCAUUUACAUGCUUAUCUUCUCGCAUCAAGUAUUGGUGAUGCUAAAUCGUUGGGAUCACUUGAUGACUUUCUGGGUCCAUCAAGACCGCAUGAUCAAUAUUUGCAGCUCCAAUCAGCUGUUUCCAAGACUUCCAGGUUUCAUGCCUCCGUAAGUAAUGCAACGAAGUCAAGCUCUGUCUAUCAAACCAGCUUAAGUCCCAGAUCUGGCACUUUUAAAGAUGGUGUGCCAAGGGCUUCAUGUUCAAGGGUUGUCGGGAGAGAGAAAUUGAAGCGUCGUGCAGAAUGGUCAAGCCCAUCAAUUGCCCCCCUUGACGCAAAUCAUUUAACAUCAGGCAGUAUGAACCCUGAUUCUACCAAUGAGAAGUGCGAUGCAGAUUGUUCAAGAAACGUUACCUCAGUUCCGUUGGACUUGCCUUCAUUUCCCUUGUUGCCAUCUAUCUACUCUCUUGGCACUUGUCCGCCACCUGAGGUUUCUUUGGAGAAGCAGUUUAAGCCUUACUAUUGCUGGUGCCCGCCAUGCCCAUCAUCACUGCAAUACACUGUUUCCCCUCUGCAUCUGCCAGCUACAUCUGUAGAUCCAUUACCCCUACCAUCUUUGAGUUCUCUGGUAGCAAAUGAGCAGCAACCUUGUUCAGAAGUGUCUCCAAAUCUGGAUACAGCUGAUCUCCCUUCCCUUAAUCUUCCAUCGAUACUGCAUGAUCCUUUACUUCACCUGCCACUUCCCACUUCACCACUUAUUCCCCUACAUGGUUCGCAGGUUCCAACGUUCACGCCAUUGAUGUCUGAUCCAAUUGUGCAUGUCCCAGUCAUUGAUGUGUGUUCUGCAGGGCAGGCAUAUCUGGUGAGUUGUGGUCCUUCAAUAUCCUCAGCAGUUCCCCUGCUUCCUAGCUUGAAGCCUCUGCUGCCAGAAGCAGAUUCGUUAGUCGAGAGAAGUGCAAGGGAAACGCUAAUGAGGCUCAUGGCUUCGGCACCACCUGCAAGCAAUCCUCAGUUAGCUAACAUUCUCCCUGUGGUCAUGCCAGAAAGUAUAUAUCUCUCUAAUAAUGUGAACAAGCAUGCUGAUGCUGACCCUGAGGGCAAAGAUUUUGGUACAUCUUGUGUUGUUGCAUUUGGAAGUGGGAUUGGAGUUGUGGAGCUGUACUCCAAGGAUGAAGUUUCAAGCGGGGAUGAUUCUCAUGAAUCAUUUUCAGAACAUGAUGAUACAAGCACUGACUGUGAUGUACAGCAUUGCCAGAAAAUUUAGUUUGCAACAGUUUGGCACAAGAGAAGGGGGUGUUUUUGGCUAGCUUGCUGGUAUUGAACGUCGUAAUAUUUUGAGCAACAGCUGCAUCACCAUGGUAAUUGGUAAAUAGGUUUUCAGGGAUUUGGUGAUUUGAUGCUCUGAGCAGCCGUUUCUAACCCAGUCAGCAGGCUUAUCUGGUUGGCAAGUGUAAUUAGUUCGUACUGUGCUUCGUUUUGUCAAACUUAUGUGAACCCCUGAAGUUAUUUUAGCCGUUUGUUUUAUGCAUCUUUAGUCUCAAAA